GAUGAACGCUAGCGGCAGGCCUAAUACAUGCAAGUCGAACGGGAUCCAGAUCAAAGCUUGCUUUGGUCUGGUGAGAGUGGCGCACGGGUGCGUAACGCGUGAGCAACCUACCCUUGUCAGGGGGAUAGCCCGGCGAAAGUCGGAUUAAUACCGCAUGACAUCAUUGAGAGGCAUCUUUCGAUGAUCAAAGAUUUAUCGGACAAGGAUGGGCUCGCGUGACAUUAGCUAGUUGGUAAGGUAACGGCUUACCAAGGCUGCGAUGUCUAGGGGCUCUGAGAGGAGAAUCCCCCCCACUGGUACUGAGACACGGACCAGACUCCUACGGGAGGCAGCAGUAAGGAAUAUUGGUCAAUGGACGGAAGUCUGAACCAGCCAUGCCGCGUGCAGGAGGACGGCCCUAUGGGUUGUAAACUGCUUUUAUACGGGAACAAACGUCGGUACGUGUACCGGUCUGAGUGUACCGUAAGAAUAAGGAUCGGCUAACUCCGU
rnacentral:rRNA from 1 species